rnacentral:tRNA from 1 species
AUGAUAAGAGCUAUAAGGCAGCUUAAUUUCGACUUAAGUUUAGGAUAUAUUAGUGAAUUUCAUAUCAUU